rnacentral:lncRNA from 13 species
GCCAAAGCAACAGGAAUGCCAUGAAAACUUGCAAGCUUCCUUUGAAAGAAACCACUUUCUCCAUCCUCCCCCCCCACUCUCUCUCUCUCUCCUUGAAUCUAAGUUCUCUGAGUGAAGUGAACUCAAGCAUUAUUCUUGGGCCCGGACAAUGACUGGGCUGCAGUGUUGGCUUUUACCUUCAAAGUCAGAAGGGCUUAGCCCCCUGCUUCCUGCUUUUCCCAUUAAAGGCCAGGGGCCCCACGAUGUAGCCCAUUCCCCCUGUUCUAACUGGGAUGACUUUCAAGGAACUGGAGACAGCUCACCAAAGUCAUGCUUCUUUUUCUAGGUCUCAAAACUGAUGCAAACCAGAACUUGAAGUGGAGUCUUCCAGAACCCUGAGGUGGCUGCGCAAAUCCUGGCCAGCAGAGCUGACAGCCUAGCUGGGGAGAAGAGCUCAUCAAGAGAUGUGAAUAUCCAAUCUUCCAAGUCCAGACAGCCAUGGGAGCUAGGCUACAGGGCAAGGUGAACAGAACCACCAGAACCUUCAGCAGCCUGACCCCAGACCCUCAACCUCACUGAGAUGACUGCCGACUGACUCCUAACAGGGAUCUGCAACAUGCAGUUGGGGCUUGGACAGAGAUGCAGCCAGAAUACCCCACAACCUACGAGGAUGCAAUAUUCUAGGACUGUCUGUGCAAGACUUGCUCAUUCUACUCGUGGUCCUGAAGUUGACCUGGAGGCAAGCUCUGGUUCUGGGCUCUACUGGAGAUGCCCUGCCUCAGACUGGAUUUGCUGCUCUAACAAGCAAAACUGCUUGCCAACCAGAUCCUUCUGGCUCCAGCCUUGCUUCAGCCAGUUCAUGGCAGAGGCACUUCAUCCUUCCUCUGGAAGAUUACUAACACCAACAAGGAUGUGUGGGCUGGUAGAAGGAAAGAACCUGAAAACUUAUGGAGAGGAAAGUGAGAGGAGCUAGAGCCAUUGGCUGAAGACCUCAGUUCAAGGCCCUUCAAGGAAGAUCUUUGAACAUGCUGAGCCUCAGUUGCUUCAUAUGUAAAAUAGAGCUUCUGUCACCCGCUGGUCCCUACUCCUGAACCCCAGGGUCAGUUGUGUUUAAUGUGUGUGUGAGAGAGGCCCAUGGAGUGGUCAAGAGUGUUCAUGCUGGAAUCAGCACUGCCACUUUCUAGCUGAGCACUGGCCCUAAUUGCUGGUUGGCAAUAGGGGACAGAACCUUUCUGACAGAACUGCUGUGCAAAUUCAGAGAGCUUCCAUGCCCAACGUUCCCAGUGCCAUUCCUGCCAGGUGCAGCCUCUACUCUCAGGGGGCUACCCAUGUGGGAGAGAAACAGUGAAUGUGUAUAAAAAGUGGCUCCAUGGAUAGAGUGGCCACGUGUCUCCUGAAUAUGUCCACUGUUUUUUCUGGCAUAAUUACCAGUAGCAUCCCUUUUCACACUCAGAAGUGUUCUAGCUUAGAAGAUAAAUUUCAUAGUCACUUUCACUAUGAAGAAAACUGAAGAGCAUUUAGUGAAACAGUGACCCAAUCAAGUAUUGUUAGAUGAGCCGGCGGGCCACUUGGAGAAUAUGAUGUUUUCAUUACGACCUGAAUGAAGGGAAGGAGUCAGCCAUGCAUCACUGUGCUGAAUGAACAUUCCAGUAGAGGGGAGAGCAGAGCCCCUGCGGCAGCCCUGGGCUUCCGGUGUUGGAGGAAAAGGAAGGCUGACAGUGUCGUUGGAGCAAAUUCAAUUGAGUGGUACAAAAAGGGGGCCUAGGAAUAGCCCGGGCCACACCAUAGACUUCUUCUGAAUAUUUUAGUCCCAUGACCUCAUGCAUUCUCUUUUAUCUUAAACUGGUUUGAGUCAGGUUUUCUUUACUUACACACAACAAAUGACAGAAUUCUUUAAAAUAUAAAAUAUUAAUACUGGUAGUCUCAGGUUGUAGGAUUAGGAGAGCGUUUACUUUUAAAAGUUUGCUUCUCUGAAUUUCAUGCAAUGAACUUGGAUUACUUUUGUAAUUUAAUAAACAGGUUACAUAAAAGAUAUUGGGCUGGGUG